CUUGGUGACAAUGAGAUAUGGUCCCACCCGUUCCCAUCCCGAACACGGCCGUGAAACGUAUCAUCAGCGAAGAUAGUUGGCGGGUAGCUGCCUGUGAAAAUAGCCCAUUGCCAGGA
rnacentral:rRNA from 1 species